GGCCAGCAAUACAUUAGCCAGCCGUUGAUUUCAAAAAUAAAAAGUUCUGAAAAAUUUGGCUGGCGGUUGCCCGUUGAUGUUUCUUUAGUUAUUGUAAUUGCCGCCUUAUAAGUUUAGUUAUUAAAAACUGUUUCAAGUGUUUUCUAGACAUUUUCACAUUCUAAAUCAAUAGAGGAAGAAUACUUAACAAUGGUAGUUAAAUCUUAGACGAUAAUUUCAUAAAUAAUUUCACCAUACAACUGAUCAUAUUUUAUUUAUUGGGUUUAUAAUAAAUAACUCAAAAUGGUGGACGGGGAUUCCAAUAAAUGUACAAUAGACACUGUACAAGUCGCUUUAAGAAUCAGGCCUUUAAUGGAACAAGAAAUUGAAAGAGGCUGCGUUGAAUGCAUUGAAAUGAUAAAUGGAACCCCACAAGUUACAAUUAAAGACUUAGCAUUUACAUAUAAUUUUGUGUUUCCACAACAUAUAACACAACAAGAAUUCUAUGACACAUCAGUUAAAGGUUUAAUUGGAAAGUUAUUUCAAGGUUAUAAUGUUACAAUACUUGCUUAUGGGCAAACUGGAUCAGGGAAGACAUAUACAAUGGGGACCAAUUAUUCUGGAUCAUUUGGGGACUCAACAAAAUUAGGUGUUAUACCUCAGGCUGUUGCUGAUAUAUUUGACUUUAUAGAAACACACGAAGACCAAUUUAUAUUUAAAGUAUCUGUAUCAUUUAUGGAAUUAUACCAAGAGCAAUGCUUUGAUUUACUAUCUGGGAAAGAGCGAGGUCACAGUAUUAUUGAGAUUCGAGAAGAUGUUAAUAAGGGAGUGAUCUUGCCAGGUAUAACAGAAGUUCCAGUCUCGUCAACGGCUGAAACAAUGUUGGCGCUAGAGAGAGGUUCAUCAGGCCGUGUGACAGGUUCCACUGCUAUGAACCAGGCUUCCAGUCGGAGUCAUGCCGUAUUCACUAUUACCAUCUUAAAGGAGAGUCGAAACGAUAAAAACCUAGCAACAUCGUCUAAGUUCCACCUCGUCGACUUGGCUGGUUCCGAGCGCAUAAAAAAGACGAAGGCUAGCGGGGAGCGACUUAAGGAAGGAGUUAAAAUUAACCAGGGCUUAUUGGCUCUUGGUAAUGUGAUCUCUGCAUUGGGAGAUGGCACCAAUAGGAGCUUUAUUAGCUACAGAGACAGCAAGCUUACGAGGCUACUACAGGAUAGUCUCGGCGGUAAUUCCCUAACAUUGAUGGUAGCGUGUGUGAGUCCAGCGGACUUUAAUUUGGACGAGACGGUGUCUACGCUGAGAUACGCCGACCGCGCAAGGCGUAUACGCAACAAGCCCGUUAUUAACCAGGACGCUAAGGCCGCUGAGAUUGUUCGCCUUAAUAAUUUAGUAAACGACCUAAGACUGCAACUCCUUGGUAAACUCCCAUCACUAAGUGAACAAAACAACGAACAAUUACAAGAGGAGUUAGAAAGAGAAAGAGCCAAAUACCAAGAGUUAUUGAAAAAGAACAAACAAAUCACAGAACAUUUGGGCAACAUUCUCAUUGAAAACACGAAUUUAUGCGAAAAGGCCCUUUUGGCUGAAGCGGCGAAGGACAAAAUUGAAAGAAAGUUAAACGAACUAACAGAACAAUGCAAUCAGACUAUAGAAAAUCUGACGAUGGAGAAAGAAGAAGAUGACUUACAGAAAACAAGUGUAAUGGACUACUUGAAGGAGAUUAAGACGCGAUUGGAAGAUAUGCAGACUCUGAAUAAGCAGACCAACGAAGAAAUGAUCGAUCAUGAUAUUAAAGUGUCGUAUAUAAAGGAAAAUGGUGAUAACAGUGUUGAAGAAGUGAUGACUGAAGACCAGGCCGCGAUUGAGGAGGAGAAGCGGGCUAUGGGACAAGUGGCAUUGAAUCAAGAAUUGCAGGAAUUAAAUCGAGCAAUGGCUUUUAAAGCAAGUUUGGUGCAAACCAUUCUUAGAAGUAACCAGGAUAUGUUAAAGAGUCAUGACAAUCUCCGGGAGAAUGAGGACAGAAUCUCUAAAUUGGAAAAGGAAAAGGAUGAGUUGCUGCAACAGUUGAAGAAUACUAGGACCAAGGAUCCAUCCCAUGACGAGACACGCAAGCAAGUGUCGAUGUUGGAAGCAGAGAUCACCGAGCUGAAGAAGAAGUGCCAGCAUCAAGCCAACGUCAUCAAGACGACGCAGAAGAACGAAGCCAAGAUUAAGUCUUUGAAUACGGAACUGCAAGCCAUGAAGGCUGCUAAGGUGCAAAUAAUUCGGAAAAUGCGUGAAGAAAGCGAAAAGUUCCGGAAAUGGAAGGCAGACAACGAACGGGCGAUGUUGCGCCUCAAGACGGAAGAUCGCAAGCGGGUAACAGCGAUGGCCAAGAUGGAGUCCUUACACGCGAAGCAGCAGAAUGUGCUGAAGAGGAAGAUGGAGGAAGCCGUGGCUGUUAAUAAGAGACUCAAGGAAGCCCUAGACCGCCAAAAGCUGACUGCGAUAAAACGUAAUGCAAAGGGAAAUGUUAAGAGUGGCGCUGUACAGCAAUAUAUUGAACAAGAGCUGGAGAUGCAUCUCAGUAUUGUGGAGGCUGAGAAAUCGCUUGAGGAACUGAUGGAGUACCGAGCGUGGAUAACUGAGCAAAUCGAGUUCAUCCGCAAUAGUACAGACUCUGAGGCCAAUAGCAAGAAGCUUGAGGAAUUAGAAGAUGAUUUGGCCUUGCGCAAAGCGCAGAUUUCUGAUCUGCAGCAAAAAAUUCUUACCGCUGACCAAGAGAACAAAGCUCGCACCCAAUGGGACAAGAUCCAGUCGAUGCUCGAGGCCAAAGUGGCUCUCAAAUGCCUCUUCGAGUUACUCGUGGAUGCGAAGAGAGAUCUUCAAAGCCAGAGUGAGAAAGGCUUCCAGGCGAGAUACGAAGAGAUCAAGGACACUUACGAUCGCCUCAAAGUGGAGUAUGAGAAUAGAGAAGCGGACUUUGAGCGGCAGUUGGCGGGUAUCAAGGCUGAAAAUGAUGAAAAGCUAUCCGCCCUCUUCGAGUUUCAGCGCGGGGUAAUGGGCCGUGGGGACAGGACGGAAGCGUGUCGCAAUUUGCAAACGGUAUUGCAGUUCCAGCAAGAUAAGCUGGAGUUAUUGGAGCAGGAGAAUAAAAAGCUUUCCGAUGAGCUGGACCAGCUACGUGCGGCCAGUUGCAAAGCGAAGAAACGCAAUAAGACACUUGAAACUGUGAAGAAAGUGGAAUACGUUGAACCAACUGAUGAGGAAGAGGAAGUUGAGGACUUUGAUAACGACCCGGACUGGCGUGCCUCACCUCUUACCAAGCGGAUUCGGGGUCAACGCCUGACGAUGAACUUCGGUCCGCCUAGAGACUCCAACGGUAAUCCUACGGCGAUACGGCGUAGUGAAACUCUCCCCUACUGCACUUGUAGAGGUAGCUGCAGCAGCAAACUCUGCGGGUGUGUGAAGACUGAUCGCGGAUGCCAUCCCAAAUGCAGAUGUUCGCAGCAGCUCUGCAAGAAUCGGCGUCUGUCAUCCGAUAGCGAAGAUAAGGAAAAUAAUCCCGCUUCAGAUUCACAUUCAGACACGACUCCAGUGUAUUUUGACAAACGUUUUGAAAUGUCGCAGGAGCUGAAAGAUGCCUUGAACGAACCCGCAGUGGAAACUAAACGUCCCACGCGUCCCAUGUCCGAACCCGUGGCUAAGAAUCCCAAUCGCACCCAGAAAUGGAUGCAUACGGAAAAGUAUACUUUCUAUAAAAACCUGUCUGGAAUCUGGCACAUUUUUAAAAGGAGGGAAACAUUUUAAUCCAAUUUAGAUCUUCACCCUGACUCGACAUUUGUAAAAAAACCAAGGAGUUUCUUCUUUGAAAAAGAGAGUGAUGAGUGAUAUUAAGGCUUACAUUGACAUGAUCCAGGAAUAGAAGUGAUAGUUAUAAUUCCUGUAAAUUAUGUUUUGUCCUAAAUUAUCUAUGAAUGUAUUUUGUAUGUCUUAAAUUGCGUUGUAUGAAAUUUAUUUCUUUGAAAUUAGUAUUAGGUAUAAGAUUUUAUGCAUAAUUCGACGAGUUCCACAAAUAUAA